AACAUCAAUCCCCACGGUUUUCUGAUCGUGGUGGACUUGGACCUGGGCGUCUGCCUCACAAGGCUCGCCUCAAAUGACUCAGUGGGAACUCUGUUGACCUACGCCUGACGUGAUAAGUUUCGUCUCGGCCGGUCUCUGGGCCCGCUCACAACACCCCAUACUUUUGA
rnacentral:misc_RNA from 1 species